AGAGUUUGAUCCUGGCUCAGGAUGAACGCUGGCGGCGUGCCUAAUACAUGCAAGUCGAGCGAACGGACGAGAAGCUUGCUUCUCUGAUGUUAGCGGCGGACGGGGGAGUAACACGUGGAUAACCUACCUAUAAGACUGGGAUAACUUCGGGAAACCGGAGCUAAUACCGGAUAAUAUUUUGAACCGCAUGGUUCAAAAGUGAAAGACGGUCUUGCUGUCACUUAUAGAUGGAUCCGCGCUGCAUUAGCUAGUUGGUAAGGUAACGGCUUACCAAGGCAACGAUGCAUAGCCGACCUGAGAGGGUGAUCGGCCACACUGGAACUGAGACACGGUCCAGACUCCUACGGGAGGCAGCAGUAGGGAAUCUUCCGCAAUGGGCGAAAGCCUGACGGAGCAACGCCGCGUGAGUGAUGAAGGUCUUCGGAUCGUAAAACUCUGUUAUUAGGGAAGAACAUAUGUGUAAGUAACUGUGCACAUCUUGACGGUACCUAAUCAGAAAGCCACGGCUAACUACGUGCCAGCAGCCGCGGUAAUACGUAGGUGGCAAGCGUUAUCCGGAAUUAUUGGGCGUAAAGCGCGCGUAGGCGGUUUUUUAAGUCUGAUGUGAAAGCCCACGGCUCAACCGUGGAGGGUCAUUGGAAACUGGAAAACUUGAGUGCAGAAGAGGAAAGUGGAAUUCCAUGUGUAGCGGUGAAAUGCGCAGAGAUAUGGAGGAACACCAGUGGCGAAGGCGACUUUCUGGUCUGUAACUGACGCUGAUGUGCGAAAGCGUGGGGAUCAAACAGGAUUAGAUACCCUGGUAGUCCACGCCGUAAACGAUGAGUGCUAAGUGUUAGGGGGUUUCCGCCCCUUAGUGCUGCAGCUAACGCAUUAAGCACUCCGCCUGGGGAGUACGACCGCAAGGUUGAAACUCAAAGGAAUUGACGGGGACCCGCACAAGCGGUGGAGCAUGUGGUUUAAUUCGAAGCAACGCGAAGAACCUUACCAAAUCUUGA
rnacentral:rRNA from 1 species